AAAAAUACCUGUUUGUAACCGGCGCACCGGCCGACAAGGAUAGUGCUAUCGAUCUCCACCGCCCUAGGUAGCCACCCCCUGCGCCGGUGGCCAGAUUCAGCACUCCAGAUCCCGUCGAGCUUCUCCUCCGUCUACUUCCUGCUAGUAAUUCCUCGCGGCUUCGCCGUUCAUCGCGGAAGCGACGGCAACUGUGCGCGCCGGAUAAAAAGAGACAAGGCACGCCGCCGGGAUCCCCACCGCCGCCUCCUGUGAUUGAUUAAGGACGAGAGAACAGUUCAGACAUCCAGCUGCAGUUAUGUACUGCAAUACGGCUCCUGAAUGUUGCGCACAUCUUCUUGUUCAAUGCGUAUUUUUGCCAUGAAGUUUGGAGCUUGGUGAGCUCCAGGAAUGCUACAGAGUUCCAUAUCCCUGGUCCAGAGCGCUAAAGCAAUGAAGGUUGAUUGUUGAUGGCUAGGAGGAGAGCAGCUUCUUGUAUUACUGCUUUUUAGUCCGAGUUUCAGGUCGUUUUGGCUCCAGGAGUAGUAUGUAACAUGUCUUGUAAUUUUGGUUUGUCCUUGGUUGAUACUAGUUGUUGAUGUUGUGUUCUACAAUAAUAUAUCAAUGAAUUUGUUUCAAAAUUA